rnacentral:misc_RNA from 1 species
ACCAAAAUGGCACCGUUUUGAUAUUCUCCGCUGAAGUGUCGUGAUGAAAAGUGACCAUUUUCGACCUGUUUUCUUAGAGCUAGGAAAAACUUUUGUCGGAGAAUGAGAAGAGGAUAUUCUAGACCGCCCAUGGGGCGAGGAUAUGCUGGAGGACGUGGAAGGGGAUUCGAGCAACAUCAUGGUGGAUUUCGAGGAGGUGCGCCGAGGCCGAGGGGCAUUGACAGCCAUGGUGGAGCAGGUGGAGCCCAACAACGUGGACGUGGGAGUAGCGGCUACAUACCGGACACCGGACCGCUGCCGUCAUCAGGCAUGAACGAUACGCGUCCUUCAGAUCCGCGAGACAGAGCGCGGAUAAUGGGUGAAAAUGAAAUUCCACAAAUGGGACCUGACUUUAGUGGGAGUGUACAGGAUAUGAAUAGAAAUGUAGGAAAUUAUUCUACAAGUGCAAUGUAUGUUGGCCAAAGUGCGGAAUUUGUGGAACAAGAACAAAUGCAUAUGCACAGUAACACUAACAGGCCAGCAGGACAUGGUUUUACACAAAUUGCAGGGACAACUGGGUCUGGGCAAAGUGGGGUUGGGAAUUAUCCAAGCCAGUAUGCUGUGCAAGGGCCAGGUGAUGGCAGGUUUGAAAGGGAAAGUUACAUGGGAAGAGAAAGAAGGCAGGGCCCAGGGCAAAGAGAUUAUUAUCCAGAUAUGGGAAGGUCCGACAGAUACAAAUCAGAUUUUAAGAGCCCUAAUGAAAGCAGUCCAGAGUAUUUUUCAACAAAUUAUCCAACAACUGAGUUGGAAGAGGAAGAAUAUAGAAUGUAUCAAACAAGGGAAGCAGAUGAUGGGGGGAAUAGAGAAGGAAGUCCAGAACCAUUCCCAGAAGAUGAAUUUGAAUAUGAAUGUGAGAAUCCUGAUUCUCAAUCUGGUAAUAUACGAGAAUCACAAUCCGAUAUAGAUCUUAGCCCUGAUCGCAGUGGCCGUAGAAGCAACAUUUCUGAUAUUGAAUUGACCCCCGAUGAAAGGGGUCAUGAGAAAAACCUUUCUGAUAUUGAUUUAAGCCCUGAGCAUGAUCAAAAAUUCAUUAAGAAUGAAGCUCAAGGGAGUAUUCAAGGCCCAAGAUUAAGUAGUAGGGACUUGGAAGAUAGGAAAAUGGAUCAAAUGUCUAGAGAGGAACAGGAUCCACAUAGGAGUGGGUCUGCACUUCAAAGAGAUUCUGAUAGAGGGUUUGAAAGAAUGCAGAGGCUUGGACCUACAUAUGGAGAGAGAUCUAUGACAGAAGAUGCCAGAGAACGUGAAUCUAGGUCAAGAAGUUCCUCACUUCCAAGAGAUCAGCAAGCACCUGAUCUCAAAGGACGGGAGCCCAAUGCGACAAAUGUGGAGAUGAUGAUGAAACAGGAAGAUCCGAAAACUUCACUUGUCAUAACUGUCACCAAUGACCAAUGCCCAGAGAAGGAUGGACCCCAAUCUGCUAUUGACCGUCUUGGACCAGCAGUCCCCCAGACGAAGGAUGCAGCAGAAAGACUUGGACCACCUGUAUCUGCUCCUGCAGAUCGUCUUGGACCACCUGUCCCUUCUGCUCUGGGUGCUGCUGCUAAUCGCCUUGGCCCUUCUGUGGUAGCUCCUGCAGAAAGGCUUGGGCCAUCAGUAGCUGCCCCCCAAGAGCGAUUGGGCCCUUCACCUAACGUACCUACUGAUCGUUUGGGCCGUCCUCUGGAGACACCUGCUGCAGAAAAGCAAGCAUUUGCUCCUAAGGCUCAGGCUUCAGCAGCAGCUGCCUCAAAAAGGUCAAGAAGGAAAGACAAGCUACCUGCCAUAGCUGAUGAAGACUUUGAUCUUUAUGCUGACAUUCCACCACCAGAGAAUGAAGAAGAAAAAAUCCCAGUGAGUGAGCCAAAACAGGAUCUUGUUAUCACCUUUCAAGCACAAGACAAACCUGCACCUGUUACAACUGCGGCCCCAAAAAUGUUUCCGGCAGCUCAUGUCGUGACUGGUCCAACUGUUCAUGCUCAUCCAGAAGCAAUGCCAAAGGAAGUGGACCAACAUAGUGAACAAAGCAGUGGGAAGUCGCAAGAGGCCUCUGAACCAGGAAAUGAAGUUCCAGCAGUGUCUGUUGUAACUAUUCCUAAGUCCAAAUGGGACAGUGAUGAUGAAGGUUCUGAUAAACAUCUUAUUUUGGUACCAAAAUCUGCCAAAAUGCCUGAACCGAAAGCUGAAAUUGUAAAGAGUGUCAAAAAGAGAGACCCAUCUUUACAUAUGGGACAGAUUGUUAAGGAUGUAAAGUACAAUAAAACUGACACAGCUAAAUUACAGGGAUUGAUAGGUGACACUAAGUCAAAGGAAGCAACAAAAGACAAAUCUAAAUCUGACGAUAAACAAAAUAAAUCAGAAACAAAGAAAAAGGGCAAACCCAAAAGACGAGAUAGAAGCCGGAGUUCAAGUAGAAGUAGAAGUAGAAGCAGGGAAAGAGGAAAGAGAGAAAAACAUGGGAAAGAUCGGCACAGAAGAGAUCGAUCAGAUAGUAGAGAGAAAAGAAGGAAAGAUUCUAGAUCAAAUAGCAGAGAGAGAAGAAGAAGAAGAUCUAGGUCAGCUAGUAGAGAGAGGGGUUAUUACAGACCAACACUUUCAUUUAGGGGAGGUAGAGGGGGAACUUACCUAGAUGGUAGAAGGAAAUAUCAAAGAGAUUAUAGACAUGAUGAUAGGAGAAGAAGUAGAUCUAGGUCGAGAGAAAGGCGCCGAUCAAGGUAUGAUAAACGCAGAAGUAGAAGUAGAUCCAGUUCGUAUUCUUCCUACAGUAGCAGCAGCUCAAGGUCAAGCUCUAGCUACAGUUCCUCAAGGUCUUCAAGUAGGAGCAAGUCUCCUGAGAAAAGUAAAAAGAAAGUGAAAGAUACUAAGUCAAAGGGUGACGGUAAAAGUAAUCAGAAGGAAGUUGGAAAGGCAAAAUCUGGUGAAAUACCAGCUGAAAAAGUCGAGUCUGAACCACCUAAAGUACAAGCAGAGAAAACAUAUGAUAUAUUCACUGGAAAGCAUGUUGAGGAGGAACCUUCUAAGCCAGGUAAAAAAGAUACUUUUGCAAAAACUGGCGGGCUGCCUGAUCCGCUUGGAUUAAAGCAACUGACAAAACCAAUGAAAAGUAAAGUGUAUUCUGGACCAAUCUAUGAUAUGCCCCCAUUGACAGUAACUGCCUCAACUGAAUCAGAGACAAAACUAACAGCUCCUUUGCCUCUUGCUGCUGCAAAACCUCUGAAAUCAAUUUUGAAGAAGAAGAAAAUGGAUUUGGAUGUAAAAGCAGAAGAGCCCACAGCAAGUGAUGCUCCAGACCCACAGGUACCAACAGUUGCAGCAAGUGCGCAGCCUGCCGCAAGUGUUAGUGGUCCUGAUUUGGCUCAAUUGUCAUCAGUACUAGCUAAUCUUGUUCCUCAAGGAGGUGACCAGACCUCUCAGUCUUUAGCAACUCUCCUCUCUGCAAUUAGUGCUCAACAACAGCAGAAACAAGAGCAAGAACAACAGCAACUGUUGCUGCAGCAGCAACAACAACAAAACCUUAUUCAACAACAGCUCCAACAGCAACUAUUUCUUCAGCAACAGCAGCAGCAACAACAGAGUUUGGGAUUUUUCAACUCACAAAAUACUUCUAUUCCUGGUCUGGGAAAUCAACUUGAGUUCCCUGUAGGUGCCCAAGGCAUAUUUGCUCAAGGUGCUAUUGGAGGACAACAAUCCUCAAUACCUGGUCUUGAUGUAGGUUAUCACAACCCUCAAGUACUUGGAGCUGGAGGGAUAAUGACUUCAUCUGUUACUGGUCUUGGAGGUAUACCUUCAGCAGCCAUGAAUUCCUCAAUCCCUGGACUUGGAGAUACUUCCCAUCAGAACACACAGCCACAAGCAUCUCAACAACCUAAUCAGAAUCUAGCAACCAUUCUCCAGCAGUCUGGUCUGAAGAUGACACCCGAGUUGUCAGCUGUACUUGGAAAAAAACAGCCAGAUCAGUCUUCUGAAGGAUUCAGUGGCCAGUCAGCAUUCCAGAGUGGGGUUAUGCCAUCUCAAAAUAUUCCGUUCCUGUCAGGGACAACAGCAGCUACAGAAGAAGAGGAUAGCUUCUUAUAUGGUGAACCUCAGCAGAGUUCACAAUUCAAUUCAAAUCAAUACAUGAACCAAAGUCAACAAGCUCCUUUCCAAACUCAAGAUCAGCUCUACCCAGGACAAGUACAUGCAUCAGCACCAGAUGAAUAUGUCCCAGAAGCUAAACCUGUAACAUCUCAAGCAGGCUCUUCUGUAGAUUCUAAUCAUAUCCAAAAAAUUCUCUCUGCUAUUGGCUUUGACUUUGACAUGGCCAAAAAAGUUGAACUUGAAAAAAAAUUAGGAAUUCAUGAAAGCAAAACUCAGCCAAAAUCUGUAGAACAGCCAGUGCCAAAGAGUGAUUAUGAACAAGUAUCAGAGUAUGUUAGUGCACAGCGAAUUCAAGCUCAGCAAAGUCAAACUUUGCACGCAGCAAAAAAUGAAGGUGCCACUAUUGCUUCAACUUCUUCUGAAUACAAGAUGGAUGGUUUGAAUCAAACUGCUUCUUUCCUUGAUACUGGACUACAAGUGCCGCCAGUCAGUACUGCGGAGGACAAGUCUACUAAAAAACUAAGUAAGAAAAAGAAAAAGAAAGCGGAAAAGAAAAAGCUGAAGGAAGAGAAAGCUGCUUUAAAAGUGAAGUCUUCUGAAAGUGAAAAACAGCCAACAAAGAAGGGACUCAAAGAUGACCUGGAACAGAAGGAAAGAAGAAAAUCUGGAAAAGGUGGCUCUAAGAGUCCUUUAACAGAGCCUGUGAGUGAUGAAGAGCUUACUCAUGAUACACCUAAGAAGCAUCAGCAGUAUGCGGAACUUGCAAAUAUCAAGAUAAAAGUUGCCCAAACACCAUCUUCAUCAAGAUCAGAGUCAAAAAGAAGGAUAGUGUUGCUUCCUGAUGCACAAAAAGAUGACCCUGAGGAACAGGAAGGAAAGAGGCAUGUCACCAGAGAACCAGCUGGUGGGAAAUGGUCGGCACAGGAGAAGCCUUAUCAAGAAGAAGAUUACUACAAGCCUCAAGGUUGGGAGAUGGCAGAGCGUAGACGAAUAGAGGAACAAAUAAGGAUAGAAAUGCAAAUAAAAGAAGAGAAAGAGAAGGAGAAAAGAAGAAAGGAGAUGCUGAAGAAAGAACAAGAGUGGCUGAUGAGAGAGGUUGCCUUGAAGACAAUGGAAGAAAAAAUCAGGAGGGAAGAAGAAAAGCUACUGCAGGUCAAGGAAAUAAAUAAGCGUCAGGAAGAGAAGUUACGAAGGGAGGAAGAGAAGCUCAUACAUGAUUGGGAAUUAAUGAGGAGACAGGAGGCAAAGAGGCUAGAUGCAGAAAAGUCUGGUGAAGCACGCAGGCAACAGAAGCUAAGAGAAGAAAAAGACAAGAUCCAGAAGAAGUUGGUACUUCUCCAGAGAGCGCUUGAAUCAUUGAGGAAGCAGCAAGGAGAUCUGAUGAGGCGCAUGAAGCACACAAAGGAGGGACACAAAGAUCCCCAGAUUGCGCACAACAGCAAACUACAACAAGAGAUUUCUGACCAGAUCAGAUCUCUAAGGAAGGCCUAUGCAGAUGUUGGAACCAAAGGAUAUGACAGGGAUGCUGAGAAAAGUGGAUCAGAAAGCCGCGACGGAAAGGAACGGCGAAGCUUGUCCACAGACAGAUCAAGCUCAGGCAGAGAUGAUAGAGACAGAGAUGGGGAGAGAGAAAAGGGGUAUUACCAGCUAAGGCCAGAGAAGAGCUAUUUGAUGGAAAUGAAAGAAGGUAAAAUUUAUACAUCAUGUCGUCUAGCAGAAAGUUUAAAGAACAGAGUUCAUCAUCUCAUCGCAGCAAGCGCAGCUCAGCUGACCAUAAGGAAGAGAGGGAACAGGAGAAAGAGAAGGAAAAGGAGAGCAAGGCUCGGUUCCAGUUCACCUACUUUGAUGAUGGAGACCAUUGGUGUAAAGUUUGCCAGAAGGCGUUGCGAAAUCUGAACGAGUUCUUCAUUCAUCUUCACUCAAAGAAGCAUAUGAAGUUGAUUGAUGCUAUGGAUAGACCAUGGAUGUCAAGUGAGGCCAAAUCUGAGAAAUCUGGUGGAUCAACAGAAGGUCUCAUCCCUGCACCUAUAAAAGGAGCUGAGUUCAUGAUGCCAGUGAAUGGAUAUUACUGUCGUCUCUGCAAGGUUUUCUCCGGUGAUGGUAUUGCUGGGAUGGAACACAUGAAGGGCCACAGUCACAAUUUUGCAUAUCAG